rnacentral:lncRNA from 1 species
AUGACAGGGCUGAGAUGUGGGAUGCAUAGGCUACUGCUUCUGUGUGGUGGGCAUCGUCAGGACGCAGCUGCUUUCGUUGCUGCCUCCUGCACCACCAUAAUCUGCUGUGGAGAUCUGUGUCUCCAGGCCAGGAGAACAGUGAAGCAGAGUUCCAAUGUCCAGGCCUUCUUCAGCAAGCUGUGGAUACUGGUUGAGCAAGCCCACACCAACAAGUUCAUCACCUGAAAACAGAAGGGUCAGAGACUUUUGGUUUGGAUGAAAAAGAUUUGUGAAAGAAAUUCUU